UACGUAGGAGACGAGCGUUGUCCGGAGUUACUGGGCGUAAAGGGUGCGCAGGUGGCGGCGCGCGUGGGGGGGUGAAAUCGCCCGGCUUAACUGGGCGGGGGGCCUUCCAGACGGCGUGGCUUGAGCAGCGGAGGGGGACGUGGAAUUCCGGGUGGAGCGGUGAAAUGCGUAGAGAUCCGGAAGAACACCGGUGGCGAAGGCGGCCUGCUGGGCAGUAGCCGAAAGGCUUCAAGCUGACACUGAGGCGCGACAGCGUGGGAGCAAACGG
rnacentral:rRNA from 1 species